CCGAGUUCUCUUACGCUGGAAUAUCGAGAGGGUAGCCGCGACUCCGAUCUGGAUCGACCCUGGACCGAUCGUCUGGAGAAGCAGGGCUCUCGCGAUGGCAGAAAUAAGGAAAAGAAAUUAUCAUGCUCGAGUCUCGCCGGAAGUGGCUUGUAUAAAUACAGCUGUCGCGCGCUACGCAAAGGGAGGUAAGUGCAAAACAACUUAGCCUAUGUGUUUUGACUCUCUGUCACUUUUAGAGCCGGUGAACGGGGUAAGCGAUACUGUGCCAUCGCAGACGUUCUUUUAUAGAGGGAAAGAAGCACAGAAGACGGCACGAGCACCAUGUAAAGCUACGAGAUUCCUGCAGUGGAUACUUCUGUCGGACCUACCGAAGCCUCGAGUUCCCUUCUUUCUUGAUUCUUUCUUCGUUUUCAAUUCUUUUUUCAUUUUGAAUUCCUUCUCGUUUUUCUGCCUUCUUCAAAAUAAUUGUAUUUGUUGCUAUAACAAAUUCCAUCUCCAUUCGAAUAAAAUCUUCAAAAAAUC